rnacentral:rRNA from 1 species
AUUGAACGCUGGCGGCAGGCUUAACACAUGCAAGUCGAGCGGGGUGAUGGUGCUUGCACUAUCACUUAGCGGCGGACGAGUGAGUAAUGCUUAGGAAUCUGCCUAUUAGUGGGGGACAACAUCUCGAAAGGGAUGCUAAUACCGCAUACGUCCUACGGGAGAAAGCAGGGGAUCACUUGUGACCUUGCGCUAAUAGAUGAGCCUAAGUCGGAUUAGCUAGUUGGUGGGGUAAAGGCCUACCAAGGCGACGAUCUGUAGCGGGUCUGAGAGGAUGAUCCGCCACACUGGGACUGAGACACGGCCCAGACUCCUACGGGAGGCAGCAGUGGGGAAUAUUGGACAAUGGGGGGAACCCUGAUCCAGCCAUGCCGCGUGCGUGAAGAAGGCCUUAUGGUUGUAAAGCACUUUAAGCGAGGAGGAGGCUCUUUUGGUUAAUACCCAAGAUGAGUGGACGUUACUCGCAGAAUAAGCACCGGCUAACUCUGUGCCAGCCGCCGCGGUAAAAC